rnacentral:lncRNA from 1 species
CAAACCAAACCAAAAAACUAUUCAAUGAUUUAUUUCUGUAACGUUGUUUUGCACAUAGUGAAUUUAUGGACUAUCUCAUGAACUGAUCACAAGAGGGGUUACUGGAUACUGGAUACUUGAAAAUCAUUCGUUGUGCUUGGUCAUCUCUAAUGCUCCUUCUGUUUCAUGAAUAACAAGAUCUAACUUUUAUAACACAUUUUUUGCCCCAAAUUAAUUUCCUUUCAGCAAAAUAUUUUUCCCUUAGAGAUUUGAAUUGGUGAUAUAAACACAAAAUCUACUCUGCAACCAUUUGCAUAAACAGAAUUACUGUCUGAUGUUCACACAAGGAAUUUAACUUCUCUAUCCACUUCCCAGAAGUGAAGUACUCAUACGUAAAAAUAACUAUGAGGCGGACUGGUCCUUAUAUGUGCAGGCUGAGCAGAGGGGCCUUCCAAGCUUCAACAGAAAGCAAAGCAAGAGAGACUGUGGCCAGCUCGGAAAAGCAAGCUUCUAUACAUGACUGACCAAAAAUACUGCUGAACCCUACUCUCUGUGCUUUCUCUGUCCAUCCUGUGGGCCACCAAGGCUAUGAAGAAGGAGAUCAGAGCUGGUGAGAGCGAAGGAGGUGAUCUGUCAGAGGCUUCCAGCAAGAUUGUGGGUGACCAGAAUGAAGGUCAUAAAGGAUAAAAUCCUGGAGAUAUCCCGGAGAGUGUGAACUGUUGGAGAACCUGUUGGUCACCUCUCAGCCACUGUGGCGCCCUGGUGGAAUCACACCCAUGGCAAUUCCCAGCUUCAGAGAAGAGAACUAAGGUUGCAUCAUCUUGGAACACAGUUUAAGCCGGUGAGAGACAACCCCUUCUGAGAAGACUGUAGCUACUUCAGGAAACAGCUUGGCUCCUUCCAAGACAGUGUUGGGAUUGCUCAGCAGCUUGGAGAUCUGAUCAUCACCCGUUGUAUUAAAAGUCAGAAUGUGGAAUUGAAAAGGUUGAGAUCUGGGCUCCUGUUGCCUCCUCAGCACUUCAAAGUGGAUUUACAAAGUAACCAUCCCAACCACAAGCACACCACACCAGCCAGGCUUGUGGAAAUAUUGCCGAUCCUCACCUUCCCUCGCUGAACCUGGGCCAUCAUAGAGGCAAGAAUGCAAACUAUUCAGGGCUAAAAGAGGAAAGAGACAGUAUAAUUCUGUGGUUUACUUCCUAUGGUAUGACAUAAGAAGAGCGUUGAGGAGCCUGUUUAUUUGUCUCCAUUCAAGUUCAAUUAAAAACAAACAAGGAAAUAUCCACAAUCCUUUGGGAACGUGAACUGUAAAACCAAAGACUGCUAUCAGUAACUCAAGUGGAUGAAAUCUGUGCUGAACAUCUGUAUACCUAGUUGACCACACAAGUCAGAAGGACACUUCGGUUUUAUCGGAUGGAAGUUCUGGUGAACACGUUUUUUCCGAGACAAGCUUAAUGGCUCUUUCAUGUGGUUUGGUUUUGGUUAGUUUAUUGUGUACUUUUAUGUGUAGUUUGGCUGUUAUUCCUGAAAACAGAUCUGUUUCUUAACAAAAACAAAUGAAUGACUCGCUCUUUCUAAAUGACUUGCAACAAUAAACAUUAGGCUGCCACCCCCA